rnacentral:lncRNA from 1 species
GGAUAAGUGCCGCCUCUAGGCCUCUCUGGCCGUUAGGUCCUCCCAACAUCUCGUUUCCUUUUUCUUACUGCAGCUUUCUUCCAUUCUUUUUAAAUGUGUAUUUCCUGAACCAUGUGAGUGCAGUGCCGUGGGGACCAGAAGAGGAUAUUGGACAUCCCCCUGGAACUGGAGUUACAGAUGGUUGUGAGCCCAUAUGGAUGCUGAAAUCAAACCUGGGUCCUCUGUAAGAGAAGCCAGUACUUUUUAACCAUUGGGCUAUCCCUCCGGCCCUCCAGACUGCAGCUUGUUGCUGGAGCUAGAAAAUUGCAAUUCCCUUAUACAGCAUUCGGUCCACUCUCGAAUAAAGAGCAAGACACGCAGCUUGAGGUGGAUGUUAUACCAGAGACACGAGCAACUCUGUUCUUUGUUAUUGUCCAAUACCGCAACACUUUUACAUGGUCCUAGGAAAACCACAAAGCUAUAACUUUUUAAAUUUAUGUAUGUGGAUGUUUUGCCUAAUGUGAGUCCAAUGGCAGUGAAUGGAUCUCCUGAACUAGAGCUACCAGAUAGUUGUGAGCUGUGCUGGCACUCGAACCUGGGUCCUAUGGAAGAGCAACAAAUGCUCUCAACCUGCUAAGUCAACUCUCCAGCCCCCUGCUAUAACUUUUCAAAUAAAAUGAUCUAGUAAAUUCGAACAGAAGACCUAAUCCCUUUCCCUACCUGAAGACAGAAGUAAGAUGAGAGCUCUUGCCCAGAGAAUUUAGGCAACGGCAGUAUCAUAAAUGCUUCUGAAACCAGUAGAGCACUGUUUUUCCAUUCCAGCUGCAAAGCAUAGUAGUCCAGAAUUGGGGACCCAAUUCUAACUUCCUAUCUUCUUCCCUUCCUAGUCCGGUCGCUGAUAAGGGGCUCGCUCUGUCCUGCCAUUCGCCUCCAUUUCAGUGGAUAUUAUAUAAUUUGCUCCAUUACAGACAGUCCAAGUUAAACUUGGGCAACAGAUCGCAAUUAUUCUUUGAAAAUUUGGCUUCUAGCACACCUCAAUAUUGCCCGUUCAUUGUCUUCGCGCCCUGCCAAUAUUUACUAAGUCAACCAGGACUAAUUCCAAAGGACAACCAAGCCCUGCCCUAAAUUUUAUUGACCUUCAGGUGAGGCACAGGGCUAGGUAUACCUCAAACGGAAAAGAGAAACAAUUCAGCACACUUUCCCAUUAGCACAGUCUCGGUAACGCUCAAUCACUCACGAAACACAAGAACUGGAGCCCCUUACUAGGCUCGGUUGAGAGAAUCAAG